rnacentral:rRNA from 1 species
CUACUGGUCGCAGCAGUGAGGAAUAUUGCACAAUGGGGGGAACCCUGAUGCAGCAACGCCGCGUGGAGGAUGACGCAUUUCGGUGUGUAAACUCCUUUUAUAUGUCAAGAAAAUGACGGUAGCAUAUGAAUAAGCGCCGGCUAACUCCGUGCCAGCAGCCGCGGUAAUACGGAGGGCGCAAGCGUUACUCGGAAUCACUGGGCGUAAAGGACGCGUAGGCGGGUUGAAAAGUCAGGUGUGAAAGCCUACAGCUUAACUGUAGAACUGCACUUGAAACUCUCAAUCUAGAGUAUGGGAGGGGCAGAUGGAAUUAGUGGUGUAGGGGUAAAAUCCGUAGAUAUCACUAGGAAUACCUAAAGCGAAGGCGAUCUGCUGGAACAUUACUGACGCUAAGGCGUGAAAGCGUGGGGGGCAAACAGGAUUAGAUACCCUCGUAGUC